UGCUCUUCGGUGUGUAAACACAGUCAGAACCCGUCCCCCCACUCAUAAGCAGAGGGAGGCUACCCUCUCAUUCAGUGCGGUAAACCCUAACGUACAGGCACCAAGAUGGGGGGCAACAAGUAUACCCACUACUGCCCGGCGCCUCUCACUGCGAGCAACUCCAGAGUGGAAGUAUGUCCAACCUCUUUCUAGGAGUCUAGUCCCAACAAGCCAGGUGAAGCAGACGAUUUCUAGCCGAAACCUCUCAACCUCACACACUAACUCCUAAUAGGAGCAACCCACCAGAAGCCACAGUCAUUCUAUAGUUUAAUCAAUCAACCACCAAUUCAAUCAUGUUUUUGUAUAGCACAUUUCAGCAACAAGUCUUUUACAUCAACCUCUCCAUGGCUGCCACCUUAUCGUGGUGAAGGGGUUUUAUUGUCCCAGCGAUCCUAGGAGCUAUCCUGUCAGGGGUUUCAUGCCCCUGGUAGGGUAACCCAAGGCAGACAGGUCCUAGGUGAGAAACCAGACAAAGCACAGCCCGAAGACCCCUUAUGACGGAUAAAACCUUUGGACGCAGGUCACUGGGGCCCCACUCUGGAGCCAGGCCUAGAGGUGGGGCACGUUGGUGAGCACCUGGUGGCUGGGCUUUUACCCGUUGAGCCCAGCCGGGCUCAACCUGAAGAGGAAAUGUGGGUCCCCCUUCCCAUGGGCCCACCACCUGUGAGAGGGGCCAAAGGCGUCAGCUGCAGUGUGGAACGGGUGGUGACCGAGGGCAGGGAUCUUGGCGAUCUGAUCCUCAGCUGCAGAAGCUGGCUCUUGGGAUGUGGAAUGUCGCCUCUCUAGUGGGGGAGGAGCUAGUGUGAGUUACAAGCACAUCCAUUCAUUGAUGGAUUUGAUUGAUUGAUUUAAAAUGUAGAGCACUUCAUGUUUCUUUCUGUUCACAAGAGUCAUUGAGUCAAAUCCUUUCCCACAGGAUUUGGGGAAAGGUAUUGGACUUUUUGCCCACUCUGCAAAAAGUUUCAGUACCUGGUUUGAUGACCACGGCAUCAUUCUGCUUGGUUGGAAAGUAAACUAGAAGACUGACCUUGAUCUAAUAGAGAAUCUACGGAGUGUUGUUCAGAGGAAAAUGAGUGGAGUCACCAUAAGGAAAAAAAUAAAGACAAAUUAAAGGGAACAUGAGCUUUCAACAGAACCACAGGCUGAGUUCCUCCAUGUCAAACCCCUUUGAUGGACUCAAUUGACCAUAAAUUGUGUAUUGAGUACACGUAAUGUAUAGUAAAUAGAUGUACUUUUCAGUAGGCUGCAUAAAAAAUACAAAAAUAUAAUAAUUUGGGGUUUAAGUAAGAAAUAAAUUAGAAAUAAAUGUAAAAUAAAUCUACAGUUGUGCUACAUUGAUAUACCCUCAUGGAAUUUUUUUUUUUGUUGUUUUUGGCCAUUUUUUAAAGAAUAUGAAUAAAACCACAAAAGCAUUUCACUCAUUGGUAGUGGUUGGAUGAAACUAUUUAUCAUCAACUAUGUAUGUAUAACAUGUAAACAAAUCAAGUGAGUAUGGUUACCUUCAAUUUGUGUCAACUUAUGUGCAUAAGGUCAAAAUCAUCAGGGUGUGGAAACCUUUGAUCAGGCUCAUGAUUUAAAAUGAUUGAAAACAGUUGUUUGACAACAAAUGGCUUCACCCAAGUACAAGCCAUUAGUGAAACAUUUCUGUGUAUUCAUUCAUAUUCUCUGAUGUUUAAACUUAUGAGCACAACUAUAUGUGGUUCAACAUUUUGAAUUGAAUUAGUAAAAUAAAUCUAAUUUGAUCAUAAUUUUAUUUAUGAUAUUAACCAGUAACUUCCAGAGAUCUAAAACUGUAUCUGAUCUCUCACUGGAGCUGCGCAACUUUUCAUGUCUCCUUGCACCUCAACGAGUCUGGUGGAAAGACAAGAAUCAAACUAG